GACGAACGCUGGCGGCGUGCUUAACACAUGCAAGUCGAACGAAGUGGCGAACGGGUGAGUAACGCGUAAUCAACCUGCCCUUCAGAGGGGGACAACAGUUGGAAACGAAUGCUAAUACCGCAUACUGAAGGAGGGGAUUGCGUCUGAUUAGCAAGUUGGAGGGGUAACGGCCCACCAAGGCGAUGAUCAGUAGCCGGUCUUGCAGGAUGGACGGCCCCAUUGGGACUGAGACCCGGCCCAGAUUCCUACGGGGGGCAGCAGUGGGGAAUCUUCCGCGAUGGACGAAAGUCUGACGGAGCUACGCCGCGUGAGUGAUGACGGCCUUCGGGUUGUAAAGCUCUGUUAAUCGGGACGCGGUACCGGAAUAGAAAGCCACGGCUAACUACGUGCCAGCCGCCGCGGUAAUAC
rnacentral:rRNA from 1 species